rnacentral:rRNA from 1 species
GAUGAACGCUAGCGGCAGGCCUAACACAUGCAAGUCGAGGGAGAAGCCCUUUCGGGGGCAGGAACCUGCGCACGGGUGCGUAACGCGUAUGCAACCUACCUUUCCCCGGGGGAUAGCCCGAAGAAAUUUGGAUUAAUACCCCAUAAUAUUAUUGGAUGGCAUCAUUUGAUAAUUGAAACUGAGUUGGUGAAGGUUGGGCAUGCGUCCUAUUAGCUAGUUGGAGUGGUAACGGCACCCCAAGGCUACGAUAGGUAGGGGUACUGAGAGGGAGGGGCCCCACAGUGGGACUGAGACAGGGACCAGAGUCCUACGGGACGGAGCAGUAAGGAAGAUAGGUGAAGGGUCUGAAGACUGAACCAGCCAUGCCGGGUGCAGGAAGAAUGCCUUAGGGGUGGUAAACUGCUGUUAGAUGGGAAGAAUAAGGCGUACGUGUACGUUGAUGACGGUACCAGAUGAAUAAGCAUCGGCUAACUCCGUG